rnacentral:misc_RNA from 1 species
GAUGAAGAACGUAGCGAAAUGCGAUAAGUAAUGUGAAUUGCAGAAUUCAGUGAAUCAUCGAAUCUUUGAACGCACAUUGCGCCCGCCAGUAUUCUGGCGGGCAUGCCUGUUCGAGCGUCAUUUCAACCAUCAAGCCCCCGGCUUGUGUUGGGGACCUGCGGCUGCCGCAGGCCCUGAAAACCAGUGGCGGGCUCGCUAGUCACUCCGAGCGUAGUAAUACAUCUCGCUCAGGGCGUGCUGCGGGUUCCGGCCGUUAAAAAGCCUUAUUUACCCAAGGUUGACCUCGGAUCAGGUAGGAGGACCCGCUGAACUUAAGCAUAUCAAUAAGCGGAGGA